AGUCGAGCGGCAGCGGGGAAGUAGCUUGCUACUUUUGCCGGCGAGCGGCGGACGGGUGAGUAAUGCCUGGGGAUCUGCCCAGUCGAGGGGGAUAACAGUUGGAAACGACUGCUAAUACCGCAUACGCCCUACGGGGGAAAGGAGGGGACCUUCGGGCCUUUCGCGAUUGGAUGAACCCAGGUGGGAUUAGCUAGUUGGUGGGGUAAUGGCUCACCAAGGCGACGAUCCCUAGCUGGUCUGAGAGGAUGAUCAGCCACACUGGAACUGAGACACGGUCCAGACUCCUACGGGAGGCAGCAGUGGGGAAUAUUGCACAAUGGGGGAGACCCUGAUGCAGCCAUGCCGCGUGUGUGAAGAAGGCCUUCGGGUUGUAAAGCACUUUCAGCGAGGAGGAGAGGUUGGCGCCUAAUACGUGUCAACUGUGACGUUACUCGCAGAAGAAGCACCGGCUAACUCCGUGCCAGCAGCCGCGGUAAUACG
rnacentral:rRNA from 1 species